rnacentral:rRNA from 1 species
GAUGAACGCUAGCGGGAGGCUUAACACAUGCAAGUCGAGGGGCAGCACGAGGUAGCAAUACUUUGGUGGCGACCGGCGCACGGGUGAGUAACGCGUAUGUAACCUACCCUGUACUGGGGGAUAGCCCGGAGAAAUCCGGAUUAAUACCCCAUAAUUAUAUUUGGUGGCAUCAUCAGAUAUUUAAAGUUCCGACGGUACAGGAUGGGCAUGCGUAACAUUAGCUAGUUGGUAGGUAACGGCCUACCAAGGCUGCGAUGUUUAGGGGUCCUGAGAGGGUGAUCCCCCACACUGGUACUGGAGACACGGACCAGACCUCCUACGGGAGGCUG